UACGAGUAGCUCAGUUGGGAGAGCAUUAGACUAUGGAGCAAAAGGUCCCUGGUUCGUCCCGGGAUUCGGCA
rnacentral:tRNA from 1 species